GUGUGUGUGCGCACACACACACACAUAUAUAUAUAUGCGCACAUAUGUAUGUGUGUGUGUGUGUAUAUAUAU